GCUGGCUGCUGUUUGGAGACAGUGGUCCUUGUAUUGGCGCCCCGCGGAAUCACUCCAGAUGAGUCAGUGGAUACAGUCUAUAGGUCCCGCCUCAUUCUGGCAUAUCCGAAUGGGCUGAGCUACCGGAUUAAGAGGGACACCCCAAAGCCCCCAUUGCUGGGUUAUUGCUCCAGAGCCAAUGUUCUUGGGGAAAGGAAGAUAUGCCCUUUGUCAACAUUGCCACUGCUGGUCUGUAAACUCCUAGACGGCCAGCUGGUGGUUCACAAACCAGGACUCCUUGCUCUGGCCCUACCCCUACCUACCAGAAUGACCGUGAACCCUUCCCCACUCACUCCUACAACCAGGUUUCCAUCUCCUCUCUCAGCUUAGGUUUCCCUAACUGUAAAAUAAAAGGGUUGGACUAGGUUAAGGACUUCCUGCUAUUUCUCUCUCCCACACUCUAAGGUUCCUUAGGAAUGCUUCAGAAAACAGCAGGGGUUGGGGCAAGGAUGCCGCUUGAGUCCCAGAGCAACUCCAAUUUCAUAGGCACAUAAAUUUAUGUGAAAGUAUAUACGUUUCGGCUUGUGUAAGAUUAUUUUAUCAUCCCAGGUAAAAUUCAGCCUUUGUGCUUCAUCUUUCCCCACCCUCCUGCUCACUCAGUUUGCUCCAAGAACACUGACCUUCUGGCUAUUUUGCAAAUCUGACAAUCUGACAAGCUCAUCUUCACUUCUUUUUUUUUUUUUUUUUUUUUUUUGAGACGGAGUUUCGCUCUUGUUGUCUAAGCUGGAGUGCAAUGGUGUGAUCUCGACUCACUGCAACCUCUGCCUCCCGGAUUCAAGCGAUUCUCCUGCCUCAGCCUCCCGAGUAACUGGGAUUACAGGCACGAGCCACCACACCCGGCUAAUUUUUUGUACUUUUAGUAGAGACGGGGUUUCGCCAUAUUGGCCAGGCUGGUCUCGAACUCCUGACCUCAGGUGAUCCGCCCACCUCAGCCUCCCAAAGUGCUGGGAUUACAGGUGUGAGCCACCACGCCCAGCCUUUUUUUGAGGCAGAGUCUCAUUCUGUCACCCAGGCUGGAAUGCAGUGGCAUGAUCUCAGCUCACUGCAACUUCCACCUCCUGGGUUGAAGUGAUUCUCUUGCCUUAGCCUCCCAAGUAGUUCAGAUUACAGACUUGCACCACCCUGUCCAGCUAAUUUUUGUAUUUUUAGUAGAGACAGGGUUUUGCCAUGUUCCCCAGGCUGGUCUCGAACUCCUGACCUCAAGCGAUCCACCCACCUCGGCUUCCCAAAGUGCUGGGAUUACAGGCGUGAGCCAUCGCACCCGGCCUCAUCUUCACUUCUUUUGCUGAUCUCUGCUUGCAGUGCUCUUUCCUGAGAUCUGUUCACCCAGGUUCCAGUUCAACUGUAGCGUCUCCUUUUCUGCCCACCUCCUCUAUCCCCCGACCCCGGGCACCCUUCCAAUUCCUUUAUAACCUGUUACUUUGUUUUUGUGAUUACCUAGUUAUUUUCUAUCUCAUCCACUAGAGGCAGUGUCCACAAAGCUAAGGACUUUGUCUGCCCUGUCACCACCAUGACCCCAGUACUUAAAACUGAGCAUAGGCCGGGCACGGUGGCUCACACCUGUAAUCCCAGCACUUUGGCAGGCCGAGAUGGGCGGAUCACAAGGUCAGGAGAUCGAGACCAUCCUGGCUAACACGGUGAAACUUCAUCUCUACCAAAAAUACAAAAAAAUUAGACGGGCGUGGUGGCGAGUGCCUGUAGUCCCAGCUACUCGGGAGGCUGAGACAGGAGAAUGGCGUGAACCCGGGAGGCGGAGUUUGCAGUGAGCUGAGGUCACGCCACUGCACUCCAGCCUGGGCGACAGAGCAAGACUCUGUCUCAAAAAAAAAAAAAAAAACAAAAAAACAAAAACUGAGCAUAGGAGCCAGGCGCAGUGGCUCACGCCUAUAAUCCCAGCACUUUGGGAGGCCGAGGCAGGCGGAUCACCUGAGGUCAG
rnacentral:lncRNA from 1 species